rnacentral:snoRNA from 1 species
GGGGAAAUGAUGAGAUGAAUUCCCCCAUAUGAUCGACUAUGAUUCCAUCAAAUGCUUUUUUCUCUUCAGAGUUCAAUCCAGUCAAUUAUGAUCCCC